CAGAGCCUUCACCAGUUGAUGUUCUCAUAGAAGACAAUUGAUGUGAAGUACAGCAUUGUGGCCUUGGCUGCUUUAUAUCUGCCUGUGGGUCCCACCUCAGUUGCAGAUGUUUGAACUAACCUGGCUCCUUGCUGCAUCUUCCAGAUACCUGAUGUAUUACUUCAGCAGCAAAUUCAACAAGGCCAAGAUGUCUUCAUUUUCCUCCAGAGCAAGAGCUGUACAAGCAUUGUGAUGGAAGUAUUGGUCUUCUGUGGCCAGCCGGCGAGAACCCAUCAACAGCUGUGAUGAGCAGAGCAGACAGAGAGACAGGAGGCAGCUGAAGCCAAAGAGGACCCACGCCUGGAGCUGUGUGUGUGAUUGGAGCAGAGAGAGGCCAGGACCCAAGGAAAUCCCAGCAGCGAGGGAAAAAAACAGAUUGACUCUCAGUGACUCAUUUAGCUCCUGGAUUGGACAGAUCUCUCCCCUGCUGGCAAUUUGGCUGAGCAUCAAUGGACAGAUACCAGGAUGAAUAGCUUAAAAUAAUUAGGGGUUGGGAAUCUGCAAAACUGCUAGCCAUCCAAUUCUUUACUCUGCAAUGUGAGGCACAAAAAAGAAAUUACAUUUAGGUUAUUAAAUAUUAAGUCAGUGGAUUUGCUUCCAUUUGGUCCAGAACAGGAAACUGGAUAAAAUUCAACAUUUAUUUCAUUGUGUUGAUGGCCUGUUUAUCACUGAGCGGAAAAGAAGAGAAAAGAGGAAUUUGACAAAUGAUGGCAAUUGAGACUUCAUGAUUUAAUAACAGCAUCUCAAGCAGUUGUUCUGAAGUGGUUCUCAGUGUGAAAUGAGGUUGCCACAUGCUUAUCAGUGGUGAUAGAGGUAUAUGGCUACAGACGCCUUGCCCCUCAAAAGCUUCUUGUCUGCCAGAGUCCUAGACAAAGAACACCAGUCUGAAGAUCUUCGAUGUGGUUUGGCAAGUUCAUAAAAAUAUUUGUGAUAAAGUUGAACUGCUGUCUGGAAAUGUAACAUGCAUCUCAAAGAAGCUUGAGAAGAAAACCCAGAAGAGUCAGCACUACACAUGAACGAGGUAUCAUUUCAAGCCACUACAAAGUGUUGGGAGAAGGGGAGGAGGAAAUCUUUGCAUAUGUUCUAAAGAUUUGUCAGCAGUUGGCCUUCAGACUAGCUUGAAGAUUUUGGUAAUGCCAGCAGCUACCGGAAGGUCCAGACAAACUCACACUAGAGAUUGCCUAAGCCUUAAAUUGCUGGGAGCUUACACACCAGCUGUGAAUCAGCAGCCUUUGACCUGUUCUUGUAUUUCCACUUCCGAGCAUCCACUACUGAACAGUGAGGAAGAAGAGCUUGCAGAGGUAACUAAGAGUUAACUGGCAACAUUUCAGCUGUCACCAUUGUCUUACAUCUACAGAGAGAGUGGAGAGAGCCAAGAAGAUAACAAUGAGAGCAGAUCUGCAGUAUAGUGAGGACCCGGUCUGCUACACUUCUGUGGUGCAUGUUGCAUUUCAGUGCCAGCACUUACCAGAGACGUUAUGUCCCAAUAUUACUGUUGCUAUAUUUAUUUUGUCCAAAGUGCAACCAUCUCAGCAUCUGUCAUUGUAUCUGUUAGAAACACACAGGCAAGGAGAGCUCACAGUAGUAAAUUACGGUUCAUCCAACCACUUAAUUCUUAUGAUUGCUGGCUUUCACCAAAAAGCAAAUAAACAAAAAAAAGACUGAAAUUCAGGGCAGUUGGCCACACCACCUCUGAGUGCAGCGGUGGCAUUAGAGCAGGGCAUGAGUGCUGAGGCCACCUGGGAGCAGAGGCUGUGUGCCAGCACCUCAUGGCUGCUUCUGUGGCUUUGGAUUUUUCUAAUGUUUACAUGAGUCCCCACGGUACAAGAGAAGUUAAGCACCCGAUAAGCACCACAGCUCAUCCAUGGCACAGCGCUUGAGGAUGCAGGGAUCUUGGGCAUGUUCAGCCAGGAGCGGAGUCCUGCUGCCCUCCAGUUCCUGAGCCAGGUUGAAACGGACCUUUAAAGAUUAUCUAGUUGAGAAUGAUGUGGCAAUGCUCAUCAAUCUGAACCACUUGCAUCAGUCCUCAGAGAAACUUUAAGCACUGCUUUUCCCCCCUCUGAAUUGCAGCUGUUGCUGCUGCCUUUGCUGUCUCCCAGCUCAAAAAUCCCUCCGAACUGCUGAAGUGCAACUCAUUUCCCUGCCAACAGAGCACGAAAGUGGAGCCUGGACCUGACCCUCCGGUAUCUGUGAGAGGAAAGCCCAAAUUCUGAUUUCUCCAAAAAGGAUCAGGGACUGAGCUGAGAGAGGAGAGAUUUGAGUUGAAGCAACCUGGGGUCUGUGGUAGCAUCAUCACUGUUUCCCUGGGCUGGUUUCCCCUGCUGAGCCGUGCAUCACUACACAGACUGGAUGAUGUCAGUGCUGCCCGAGCAAGCUUCAGUUUGGCUGCUGAAUAAAGGGAAGAGUUGUCGUCACCACACAGACAGAAAAGCAAAGAAAGCCUAUGUCUUCUAGCUAAAAAGCCAGCUUAAAUGAAGGCAUAAACAUCUCCUUUUGAGGUACCGUGGAGACAACAGCACACAGGCAUCUUUGUGUUGCCCGUCCAUUGGCAGCACUGGCUCAUCAGGCAGUUCCCCAUCCCCAGAUCUGUGUCAGACACCUCAUCCUGCUCAUCUGUGGGGUUUUGGUUCAUGGACUUUUGCUGCUCUCCUGCACUUCCAUGAGCAAGGCCACUCUCUCACACCUGCACCUUGGGUCAGUUUAAAAACAGCUGCUGUUUGAUGGCACACACUAAAUGAAUUACUGUCCUCAGUUAUGGCCUAUGAGUCUGGAGAAUGAGACCUUCACUGGCACCACACAGGAGGCCAAGGACAGGCAGAAGCACGGGCAAAGGCAAAGUUCCGCUGGGUCAAGGGAAGGGGCAUGGCAGACUAAUGAACAGCAACCUGCUCUUAGGUGGAAGACUGCUCUUCAGCAUUUGGCCCAGGUCAGACAGGUAUUUGCAUGUCAUAUGCAGCAUCUCUGAAAAGCUUGCUGUGUGAGAGGUCCUCCUGCUUGACUGGAACGUGCCUGCUGUGAUGCAGCUUUUCCAUGCAUCUAACUUGUCUGGGAGGAAGAGCAGCACUGCAUCCUGCAGUAAGGAAAAUGGAGAUCGAGCACAUCCACCGAAGCGGCGGCUGGUUGGACUUGCAAGCACGCUGGGGAAGGAGCAGCUCAGUGCUACCCAUGGGGCGUCCCUUCAGAGGGGGCACGCGUUGCAGCUGUGUGAUGUGCACAGAGCUGGUAGCACUCACUGGAUGCUCCCAGAAGACAAACAGCAUUGGUCCAGAUCAAAGGCCUCCCACAAGAAAUUCAGACUUCUUUGUUAGAGAAAUGCACAGUCAGCUGGGUGUGGGGCCGGCAGUGCUGCAGUCCAUGUGCCACGGCCCACCUGGAGGGCAGGCGUGCCGAGGAGCCCUGUCAGACACACACUGCGUUCUAUUAAGAAAAGAAAAGAAAGGAGAAAACUUACGAGUGAGCUCUUCUGUGGCUUCGCUGGACUGACAACAGGCGUACACCUGGUACUGAAAAGCAACAACAAAGGCUCCCUGGUACUUCACGUACUGCAGGCACGGGAAGUGAAACCGGUCCUGGAACACGUCUCAAGCUGAAGAAACACAAUACUUUGAAGUCCUAUUUUUGCCAAGGCAAUGAAGUGCUGAAGGAAGAAAUCCAAGAGACCUCAGCACACUGCGCCAAGAAGUAGAAUCUGAAACAAAAUGUAUCUGCUACUGGUUGUUCAGACAGACAAAUCUACAAAUCUGCUUCUUAUGCACCAGCGUCACAACAAAAUAUAGGAGCUGAAGACAAGCGUUCGCUAUGAACGCUGCCAGCCAGAGGAGAAUUUACACUUAUAGUAGGUGGUAAGGUUGUUAGCAAACAAGAGAUGCUACAGGAAUACUGCCACUGUCAAAAAUGCAGAGACAGUUCUCUGUGGAGGAUGAUACGACCCCAGCAAAUAAAAUGGUCCCCAGGACAUCAGCCAGCAUUGAGGACUGCGUUGUGCCGGCAAGCAGAGGUGAAAUAGUGUUGUGGUGUUUGAUUUUUUCCAAGCAAGUGAUGAGAAACUACAAUUUCCACGUGUGGAUCAGAUCAGGGAGGCAAAAGGCAGGAACAGCAAACAUUACUGCUUCGCCUCCUUAAAAAGAAAAUCAAGUGCUGAAAGUUAGGCUGUGCAACCUUUUCUGCCUGCACCCAUCACCAAUAAAUAUACAGUUUACAAGUUAAUAUGAAGACAAUCCUAAGUAUGUAACUGCCACCUUCACAAACACAACAAAAAUGUGUUUUAUUGCAAGGAGUACGUCUCAAUCUCUUCAGCUUAAUGAAAAAAAAACCACCACCCUGUGAUUAUUCUGCUGUGUCCAUAAUCUCUAGUGGCAGAAUAACCUGGAGACUGAUUGAUCUUUAAUGUUUAAUAAAGAGGAUCUGUUACAGCCAACUCCGUCAUAGUGGAAGAACAUUUUUAAUUACUGGCCCUACAACAUGCAGCUUUCUGGAAAGCAUCUGCGAUGUUUACAUCUUCAGAUUGUUAAAAAGCUAACACACGAAACACAAUCUUUGUCACCUGCCCCUGCAGCUUCCAUAACUGCAGACACCUGACAAACCUAUGAAUUACCAACUUGUCUCCUUGACUGUAAUCCAGUUUUCUGAAAUUCAGACGCUCCACAGCUCCCCUUGGAAACCCGGUAGGGGAACUUGGACCAUUUCCUAGAGAGACUACAUUAUAAAAACAAAACAACCCUAUCGUUUCUCUCUCCAGUCUUCCCCAGUACCUCUUUGCCUCAUCCUUGACCGCAGCAAUGUGGUAAGUAGUGACAGAACUAAUAAAAACCUGUUCUCAGUAUCGCCUCUGCAUUAGCUUCUACUGGGAGGCUUCAGCUGUGAGCUCUGCAGGCCCAGCCCCACUUUACUGCUUUUCCACAUUCUGCGUUCCUCAUCAUGUCUGCUGCUUUUAUUCUAACUAAAUCAUUUUUGUGUUUUACUAACGCAUAGUAAGAAACUGAUAAAGCUAAACGGCAAUUUAGACACCUACUUGAAGUUACAUUAAACUUUACAUUCGCAGUAGACAAGUGGAUAAACCACUCUCUCAGAAUGGUAAAGCUUUUACUGCAGCGUAUAAAGAUGAAUGGUUUUACCCUGUAUUUUGAAAUGGGACACCUACAAAUAUUCACCUAACGGAGUCACUGUUAGCUAUGCUGUACCACAGACCUGUGUCAUUAAAAUUCACAACAGUAUAAAUCCAUGAAUCUUUAACUGUAGUUGUACUUCCUCGAGAAGAGGCCACGCCAUUCUCCUCCAAUCUUCAUUAUCUUCAUUCUGCCCAACUAUGUAGGACUUUUGUACUCAACUCUCUCAUCACCUCAAUUGACAAAUUAGGCAAAUAAAAAAGCCCACAUCUCAUUUUGAUGUAAUUACACUCACUGCAUAAGACUUGAAAUAAUGCUUAAAAUUAAUCAGCAAAUUUUUGCACAGAAAAAGAAGCAAACGUGGAUAUUGAACUGCAGCAACACAACAAGAAAAACACAGGACUUUUUAAAGCAGUUUGUGUCUUCCUGUGUAGAUUUCUCCACUAAGUGAAAGUGUUACUAAUUAUUCCGCACGUGACAGAAUAGGUAAGCCUAGCAUUUGUCCCAGGUUUUUUCAUCUUCAAAAUUCCUAUUUGCAGAUAAAUGUUAUUUUUUGUGAUCCUUACAGACAUUAAUGAAGUUCCUAUUGUAAAUCUAUAAAGAAUUACCAACUGAAGUGUGCACUUUUUGUUUCAUUGCAAUAACUCAGUGCUGUGUGAUUGCCUGGGUUAAUGAUGAAAAAGUCAAAUAUACUAUCAGAGCUGAUGGAAAAAUCUAUCACCAAUCUGAAAUUAAAAUUCAUCUGUGGUCAAUAAGAUUUAAUAUCCAUGCAAGUGGCGCUGUAAAGAGUAAAUGAAUCAAUGUCAUCAAUACAUAAUCAGUAUGAAAUAUGAUGUGAAUAAAAUUAUGUGCAAGAGUCAUACAUUCACUCUUUUCUGGACCAGGGUGGAAUGAACAGUCUCUUAACUCAAGGUUGACAGUAAUUGUUACAAAUUAGGCACAGCAGUUAUCAAAAUGCACUCACUUGCAUAGCUUUAGGACUUAUUAAGGAGAUUAAAAUAGAUCUAAAACUACCUCGUUUCAGAGUUACGGGACAACUGUUGAUCAGAAUUUUUUUUCUUCUUCUCUAUAUGAUCCGUGCAGUCAUUAUUUACUCAUUUAGGCACAAACCAAGAGCCAUCAGCCACAGAGAUACACGAUCUCUAGCUGAGCUAUUGUUGUUACGGAGCGAUAAGAAAAUAGCACUUUAGUUUUUAAAUCUCAGUUAUGACAUAGAAAACAGACGAGAAAAUACUUCUGAAAGAGCUCCCCAGCAUGCCUCCUCAACUGCAACCUUACACUGCUUCAGCUCAGGAAUCUUCUCUUCACAAAACGUUUAUUUCCAUAUUAAAGGAUGUAAUUUUCCUCCCACAGAAACCUGCUCUCUUGUAGCCCUUAAUUUCAAGACUGUAAAAUAAAAUGCUCCUCUUUGUUAAGUUUAUGUUAACGUCUGCUCUCCGUUCCACUUUGUACGUGAAGAGUUCAACAGCUGCACAGAUACACAUGCCCAAACCAAAAUAAACGGACUCACUCUAUAUGUCAUACUUAAAGGUUAGCACUUCCUCCCCAUCCCCCACGCCUACGUUACUUAAGUUGGGUUACUUAAAGGUCUUGUUGCAGGGGUGGGAAAUGUCCACUAUUAAACUGAAAAUAAAUUGAUCUUCAUUUAGCUCUAAUAAAGCUUAUUAGUAAUUGUGGAGU